UAAUACAUGCAGUGGUUGAGAUUCGGCAGCUUUCACGCUGGCUAAACAACACUCGCACAAAAAACCUAUUCUGAGCGGAGACACCUUCAAAUUGGCUCAUUUGCAAAUCCUUGUGCAAAAUAAAUGAUAAUUAAGCAUAAAUUCAUCAGGGAGGGUGAUGUUCUUUGAUGAAGUCAGCAAAGAUAAUUGUUCUGAAGCAUCUUGACUCCAUGAAAAUCAAUAGCCACCUGUAUUCUUAUCGGUGACACCUGUGAUAUUUGCGUUUUGCACAUUAUAAAUCAAGUAAAACAAGGCAAAGGUCACUCUUCAUACCUUGUAAUUAGACUGGUAAUAAGUGGCUGGUUUUUAACUCACUGGUCUGAGGCAGAACAUCAUUUCCAUCAAUCAAGUGGACACUACUGUAUCUGUAAUUGUGCAGACUCUCCACAUUUGCAUAAAGAUGAGUUCAGCUUCUCCUGUGACACCACGAUGACUGGAGGUUUUCUCUGACACUCACCUCACCUUCCCCUAAACCCUAAACUUAAUUCACUCUCACUUCAUUAAGAACUAUGAAUAGUGCUGCAAAACAAUACACAUAACACAAAUGGGAACUAAACAUAGUGAUACGCAGAUGUCAGUGAUACAUUAUUACAUUAGAUCUGAAUAAUAACAUCCUUCAUCUGUUCCAAUAUGAUUUAUUAUUAUUUUACAUUCUUGUAUGAUUUAACUGUACUUUCUUUCUUCUUUGGUUUGUAUUUUUCUUCUCAUCUCAUUUUCCUCUCAUGUUUAUCUCCUCUUCAUGUCCACUCUGAUGUUCUAUUCUGAUUGUGAUAUGUCUUUGCCUUCUCACACUCAUUUAAUGGGCGUCAUCCGUUCGUCCACAUGUCACCACUAGGGGACAGUAAAACUCCACAUGUUCACACAUGAUGUCAUUGUAUUUACAUGUCCACACCUACUCUCCCUCUGCUACACAAAUAUGUACAUACAUGGUGACUAUAGGGUGUAAGCGCUUUAAAACACAGAAUAUGUCGAAUGGCAUUUCGGUCUAAAAUUAAAAUGUCCAUCUGUGCAUAUAUCCGGCAGAGGAACUUUGCGCUGCAGGAUCUCAGGGUUUCACAGUAUCAUGAAUCACAUGAGGCAAACAUUACACGGGUACAUAUGGACGUAAAGAGAGAACACCAAAUUAAUGAUGAGAGGCUGUGGGGGGCAGGUGCAGGGUCUACACCUGUAUUAAAAUCCAUAGCGCCUAAGCAGAAUUCACGUUCAUCAUCUGACACAUCUUAACUAAGAUAAACACAUUGGUAACUGUUAUUCCAGGCUAAAUGUUUUGAAUCAUAUUGUGCUACAAAUCCACAUAUAAAAUAAUAGAAUACAUAAUUUCCUCUUUUAUGAUGUAAUUACACUUUCAACACCCACAUUUAGAGCAAAACACCAGCAUAACUAGCUGGUGUUUUUAUUAUUGGGAAACUGACAUCAAAUAGCUCUCAGUAAUUACUCCUAGUCUUUGAUUUUACCUAUAUGCUGAUUUAAAUCACCAACCAAAAGCAUUACAUAGAAAUCAGACAGAUAACAAUUGGGAAGAGGAAUAUUUGAAAGAACAGAAACCACCGGUGUCAAUAACUCCAGCCUUGGAAAACCUCUAGUGACAGAAGUAUUGUGAAGGAAAAUCCCCAAACAGCCAGCGGCAUCACCAACAACCUCCACUGAGCAGAGGUGUCACAUUCAACCGCCAGAACGACGUCAUGGGCCGAUAGAUGGAACGACCAUGAACACCAGUGGUAAGAAAUGUAACUCAUUUCCAGUUUGUCACUCUGAGCUGUGAUUGUUAAAGAGAAGCCACUUCAAUGUCAAUCAAACCAAUCACGUUGGUGUUAAGUUUAUUCAGCCUGAGAUAUUCCAAUGUGAUUUUGACAAGUGUGGAUCCAAAGUAAUCGGCCAAGUUUAAUUUGUCCUCGUGCUGCGUUCUCUUCACAGAUUACCAUCCACACAGACACAGAGCGAGGACAGGUUCUCGGAUGGUGUGUGUCUGUGUGUGAGGGCUGUAAGCAGCCGUCUCGUUGGCUGCAGCAUGGAUCUCAUUUCGUGAGGUGGAAUUAAAGCCAGCUGAGACCUAAUCCCAGCAUAAUACCAGCCCCAGCUCUCCGCCCCGUUUCUAAAGCAGGGAAUGAGGGCGGAGGAGGGUUAGAGAAAUUACAGGGGUAGACAGGAUCGGUGCUUUAUGAAGCUGGAUGCUUGUUGCUCUGUGGACGGCGAAAAUUGGCUGGAAAAAACAACUGCAAAUUGCUGGUUCUCUGGCUUCUGCUAUUACCUGUUCACCUCCUGUUCCAUAACUUUACACUUAAAUCUCCAGUUCAGACAAACCAGAUGUGUCGCAGCUGCAAAGCCUCCAUUUCUGACGGUGAAACAGCAAAAUCCACAAAUCAACAGUAAAUGACAAAGGACAACAACAGAAUGAAUGUGUGGAAAAUUGAUGCCCAAAUGUAUUUGUGGAGGCAGGGGCAGUGAAAACAAAAUAUGGCAGGCAUGUUGUAUGGUUGCUUUAAUCUAAAAGUGCAUGAGCCUGUUGGUACAAUCUGCUGUGACUAACUGCAGGUGCAGAAAUGUAGUGAAACAUAAAGCAAAGCUGACAGUUGUGGUUAUUACAUCAUGUCUUGGGGUGAAACCACACAUUUAAUACAUUCUUUUCCUAAUUUACUCUUUUUAAAAUCAAUGAUUUACUGAAAUCUGAAAAUCUAGCUUACAUGAAGAUAAACAUUACUGGUUUAGUUUAAACCUGCUGGUAUCGGCUCCUGUGACCAUUUAAACCUGGUCUGGAUAUGACAUUUAACCAGCAAAGGAAAAGCACAGAUUCCACACAGAAGCCACACAUUCACACGUCCAUUCAUCCACUUCACUAUCCUGACACGCACUCCCUCCAUAAUCCCUCUUGCUGGGUAUCCAGAUAGUGACAGGGUCGCAUUUGGAGCUAAAACAUUAUCUUUCUGCUCAUUAACCUUCGACAGGGUUUCCAUUCCGCCCGACCGAUUUCCCCUCCUCUGUCUUCACCUCCAUCUCCUCCUGCAUCGUUCCUCUCCUCCCUAUUUGUCGAGGCACUCAUCCAGAUGAGACAGGAGCCUUUUAAAACGUCUGGUGAUGCUUCAUGGGGCCUCUGCUCCGCGUCGGGAAUCGACUUAUCUGGACAAUUUGUCCCACGAGCUUCUAAGACACUAAUGAGAUCGUCCAGAGAAAAGUUUUGGGGGUCUGAACUUGGCUAGAAAAUGGUUUUGUGUGACCACACGUGCCCUGGGAGAUGGUGACAGGCCAAAUUAUUAUUAAUAUGCUAUUGAUCAGAUCAGAGUCACUGGGUUUAUAAGUUGGUGAUGAGGGAUCGAUGUCUUCAUGACCUACUGACUGGCCGAGUGACUUGUGCAGAUGAGUGAGCAAAGACGCAGCCCAGACAAACCAUGUCAACCUUCAAUGGUGUGGAAAAUGUUCUGCGACCCAGGAUUAAUCUGCGACCCGUGAGUUGGAAACCACUGCUCCAGCUGACGCACGUCUCUGCCUGCUCUACCUUGCUCACCUCCGGUUUGAUUCACCCUCUAGUUAAUCGUGGCCACAUCCAGUGUGACAGACUGCAAGCUGUAAUUCUUACAGUUCAUAUACAGUGAAUUUAGAUUAAGAUAAUAUGUUUUAACUUGAAAUAUUGUACAAUACAAAAAAAACAACAACAAAGAAAAAACUAGUUUACCUGCUGCUAAAUGUGUCUGCUGCUAAACAGUUGGUUCGAGUUUCCAUCUGGGCUGUGUUUUUAAAAUCCUAAAAACAUCUUUGUGAUUUACUGGUUCAGAACAAAAUCGGAAAAAGCUGCGGCAAUUCCAUUAAUCAAUAACUUUAGAAUUAUCACCACCAGUAUUAAAUAGUAGUAAACAAAUGAAGUUGUAAAUUAUAUUAUGUAUAGAUUUUGAUUGCCCAAAGUAGGUUUGGCGAACUCUAGGCAGUGGCUCAUCAGAUUCAUGAGGAAGUCAUCUGUACUGAUUUUAACAGGCUGCCUUUGUGACCCUGUUGCCUUCUUAAUGUGAUUUUCGUUGGUUUUCUUUUGCAGAGAAAGGGUCAGUAGCCCUAUUAGUGGUUCUACAGCCACUGUAUUAAUCCAUAUCAUAACCAGAAAUAAUGUCUUAAAAAUAGAGGAAAAAAGAGACAAUCAGUGUAUCAAGAAAUUAUUGAAUUUUUCUGAAAUUCAAAAUUUGUAAAUAUUGUUAGAAAGUUUUAAAACAUACAUACGCGUUUUUUUCAACUUAAAAAGUGUCUAAUUUUUUUGCUUCUAUUUUGUGAUUUAAAUUCCUCCCAAGUUAAUUAACUACAGCUGAUUAAUGAAUCCAUUUAUUCCACUAUGUUGAAAUGAGCAAGUUCACCAUGUUUUACCUGAGGUGCAGCGUGUUUGAGAGGAGCAGCAUAUUGACAAGUUGAAGGAUGGGAUAUUGAUGCGAUCGCUCUCACUUAGCAGGGGAAGCUGGUGAAGUGUGACUGUGAAUAAUCAGCCCCUGCACUACAUCACCACCACAUUUUCCAGCAGCAGGACCUUUACACAUCCUCUGGGAUGGUUGUAAGGAAAACAGAAUAGGUAAUGUUUUAUCUGCUGGACGCCAUGACUCAUCGACUCCAGUGGUCAACCCUAAAUCAUGCGUCCCGGGGGAUUUAGGUCAUUUCUGACAAUAAGAUGUCUGCAUACUAAUCUAAGCUGGGGAGGAACAUGCAUCCUUAUAUAUAUUCUUAUAUAAAAAAUGUAAAAGACGGUGGAUGAAUGUUAAUGAUAAACAGGGUGUAAAAUGGAUGGGUCGCUGGAAGGGUCACUCGGUUGGUUGAAUACGUUGCUUCAGAAUGUCCCCGUUCUUGUGUGUAUGAUUUCGGUUUGAUGUUGCAACAUGUCUGAUGCCUUUGUGUGAGUUUUUUCAGACCUUCAUUUUGAUUGACAGUUCAUGAAUAUGCCCCGACUCCCAACUUGUUGGUUGGAUUUAUUCAUAUAUAUUUAUUAUAUUUACACACUGGCAUCAUCAAACAGCCUUAAAGCUGUUUGUUUGAGACUUUUGUAUUUAUAUUUCCCUCAGAGAUUGAAUUUUCCCCUUGUUCGUGUUUCCAGGUUAAAUUACGUUUCCAAACAACAUUCAAAAUAUAAUAAUGUGUCAGUUUAGAUUUUUUUCAGCUGCGCUGUGGGGAAUCAACAAAGUUUUCUAUUUUGUACUUCUGAGAUGAAAUUGAAACAUCAUUUAUUAAAUUUAUAUGUGUUUUGAGGCUUUAUUCCAUCACAAUUUACCAUGUCUUAUACAUUAUUAUGGUAAUUAAUUAACAUAACAACAUCAAAAAAAAAUUGUGGAUGUUAAACCUGUUUUUUUCCAAAACUGUUCUUCAGAAUCUUGCCUUGCUAUUGAUUUUUGCCUCCCUUGCUUGUUUAUUCACUGUCACAUUUAAUGAGGAGAUUGCUGCACUCAAUAAUCUAUUAAAUCAUUUGUAACUCAAACAUUAUGCUGCUGACUAAAUAAAGAGAACGCUGCUGGAGUCAA